UCUUUUUCAAUGGACAAACGCUAUCUAUCGAGAAAACCGCAGAACUUAAUGAACAACCUAAUACAUCAUUGCUUGUGUAUUACACGUAAGUUUAUUCAGUUUAUGAUUUGUUUGUAUUUAUCUUGCGAUGAAUUAAUUGUUGCGAUAAUUGUUCUUCUAUCUUGCGAUGAAUUAAUUGUUGCGUUAACUGUUGUUACAUUAAAUAGAUUUAUUGUCACCUGAAGAGGACCGAAACCCAUGGGUUUCGACCAUGGUCGAAACGUCGUGACGGAUUUUUCAUUAAAGAUAUGGCCAGUAUGGUUGAAUAUUAAUUGUUGUCAUCAUUAUUUACGCAUAUUGAUACCCACUGGUGAAGAGAAGAAACUUUUACUACACUGUCUUAUUAAAUAUUAAAUUGUUAUUAAAUUAAGAAAAUAAUCUAAAGUUAUGAUGUUAUUAAAAAAUUUAGAACCGCUAAUUGACAAUGAUCUUACAUUUCAUGCUAAGGAAAUUCAAGAAUGUAAUUCCCUGGUGAUAAGGAUCGGCUUUCGUAAAUUAAUGAGAACAUUAUUCACUUGCGUAUCGUUCGAGUCUGACGCAAUAAUCGACUUGCGCUAAUCAAACGGGAAUGUCAGUUUUAAUGUGGCAAACAAUGUCAUUAGCACGCUGAUAUUAUGGAAGCGGGCGCUUCAAACUGCAAUUUGGCAUAAUUACCGAAAGUACCAAUUCGAAUAUUUGCAGUGGAAAUCGUCUGAAUUCUAUCCUGAUAUCCUGAUUAUAUCAUCUCGAUAUAUUUUGACAAUUGACAAUUUCUUACACAUAUGUAGAUCCAAUAUUUAUAUUUUAAUAUUUAUUAUAUAUUUAUUGUGCUUUUUAGGUAACUGUUAAAAAAGAGAUUAAUUAUGUUAUUAUAAUACAAUAAAUUGUUAUCGUCCUGCUUAAACGUGUGUUAUGAAAAUAAAGAAAGUAAAAGUCUAAAAUGAAAUAAUAAAUAAAAUGAUUCACUAAUAAGUUAAUAACAUUGCACCAUUUUCCAAGUAUAUAAUUAUUUCGAUGAGUGAUAGUACGACUAAAGCAAAAGUAAUCGCACUCGAAAAAACUAAUAGAUGAUUGUUUAAACCAUUUAUUAUACGCUUAAUGAUUAAACAAUAUUCCAGACGAUGUAGUUACAGAGAUAUUACCGUUUAGAGUUACUUGAAAUCGCACGAUCGAUUUCGCAGGGAGUCGAGCGAUCGAUCCUCCCUUUCGAAGCAUUGUCCAGUCAUUAACACUCUCUUAGUCUAUGGGAGAAGCCGCUGCACGGAUUUUCACACAUCAGCGAGAACUCUUCAUUCAACGGCGCUGAAUGGUGCGUUCGUUGAGUGCCAUUCGCAGUACGGCGGAUUAUUCCCAUCGAAAAUGUGCACGAUAUAUAGCCAUUGGGAACGCCUAUUGCGGGAUAAUGAAUUGGACAGAGAAGUAAAUGAAACAAGUAUUUAACCAGCUGCAUACCGCUAACUGCCGGACGUACCGCUGAUUCUUUUCGUUCCUUCCUCAUUCAUGAGUGGACAAAAUUCCAUCCCGUGCUAAUUACUCGCAGGUAUAUUUUCGAAUACUCGUCUAAUUGGAUCAGUCGUCCGGAAGGGACAUGAGUUAUAAAAAGCGAAUCCCUCGAAACGCGAGUAGUCAUCUGAAUUUGAUGCGGUGAUACGGACACGUACAGUGGCAUACAGGACGUAGCUGCGCUGAUUCGAAACGGGCGAAACCGCGGAUUUUGUUUCUCAGCAAAACGCGCGGAAAAAGUAUCAAUCAUCGCGAACGGACAACGACACAACCGCCACUCCCGUCGGUUUUAUUUUGCAAAGCAAGUCCAGUAGAUCGUAGCGCGAUCCAGCGCGGAUUUCGUGUCUCGGCAAAACACAAAAAGGUAGCGAUCAUGAAAAACGUACAAAACGGACGCAUGAUCGCGUCAGGCUGCUGCUGGUGCUUCGACAGCGAAUAAAUCCGACGCGACAUAUUUUCCAUGAUAUUUCACCACUGAAAUACGCUGGACGAGUGCGGAAGUGUGCGGACGAGAGAGGUGGAAGAAAAAACAACGAGGGCAGAAAUCGCAAGCGGAACAUCGCAUGCUGAACUAAUGCACGCCGGAUAAAUCUCACCGGCAAGACCCGUGAGAUUUUCUUUGAUUUCUCUUUUUCCUCUUUCGUUUGGCUCCGGUUAAUAUGAAAUCUUCCUGCCACCUGUUUCUAUUCCCAGCGCUACGUCCCAAGGUUAAAUGCGAGCCGCGUGUUGCAUGUGCGAUGAUGCGCUGAAAUCCACCGGGAAAUGUUGCUUGCAACUUGCAGUCCCGAAACACGAUCUCUCGUGAACGUCGGGUAUAACUAAUUUCGACGUUAUAAACAAGGUCAGCGGCGCAACGACGGAGGAUAAUAUCGUUAGGCUGUGCUGCAUCACGCCGGAAUUAUUGCGAUUAAUUAUGUGCGUUGGUUACGUAGACCGAAUAUGCAAGAUUAUUCCGCGCGUACGUGUCGCUUACAUUUCAAUGCGGCUUGAAUUCACCGGCGCGGAGGCCGAUCGAUGAAAAUUGCGGCGCUAUUAGAGAUCAUAGGCGCUUCGAUGUUCCGAGAUUAGUCUGAAGAUUAAUUGUGAUUUUAUGUGCUUCCUAAUUAGACUCAAAUAAGAUAAAAUAAAAUAAAAUAGAGUCGAAUAAUUAAUUAAAAUAAAAUCUACAAAAUCGUAAUAAUUUCAAUGGAAUGUUGCGCGUAUAUCUUUGUAAUAUUCUUCUUUUUAGAUAGUAUUAAAAAAUUAUUAAAUUAUAUCUUUACCAGAAAUUCUGAUUAUUUCGUAAUUUAUUUACGACCACGAAUUUUUAUAAAUUCCUGCAAUUUUACGACCCUCUGCGUUUCAUCUUUGUUUUUUCGGUAGGGUGAAUUUUUUGUUGGCACGAUCCCGACGACACUUAAACACGAGUCGCGAUUAAAGAAAAGCGAGAGAGCCAGUGCCGCAAUUAUUCCC
rnacentral:lncRNA from 1 species